rnacentral:lncRNA from 1 species
CUGGGACAUCCCCCCGCAGGCUCCGGGCCGGGCCAGCUCCUCUCCUGGUGAAAGGAGCCAUUGUGAGGUCAGCCUGGGAGCUGGCAGGCGCUGCGCUGGCACACGUGGCUCCCGGAGGCCCCGGGGUCCGGCGAUUCCUGUCUCUGCUGCUGGGACCUGCCCAGAGAGAAGGGGUGAGGUCAGAGGGGCCUGGGCUAUCAUGGGGGCUUCUGGGCCUGCUGCGGCUGGACCCUGAAGAUCCACUGCAUUCUGAUUUCCAUCUGCCUCGGGUCCGAGGGAGGAGACUGGAGGGCAGGGCCGGCCGCUGGGACCUUCAGAACCUUGGAGCAGGAAGGACUUGCCAGCUGGGCCCUGGCAUAUCUGGGGCCCUCGCCAAACUGAAAGCCACGGUGUCCUAAACCCGGCCAGAACCCUGUUCCCUGGUGGGCCGGCCAAACCUGCAGAGCCCUGGAGGGAGAGGCAGGUCACUGAGGCCAUUCAGGAAAGGACCCAGCCUCUCAGGUCAGCAGUGUGGUGCAAGGCAGAGGCAGGGCUGGGAGGCAGGAGACGGGGCUGCGGUCCCAGCCCUCCAUCUUACUCACCUCUCCUGGCCUCACCUCGUCUCCUCAUCCGGGAGCGGGUGUGUCAAUUAAAGCUCUUUAAAAGCAAGUGACAGAGACCUGCUUUGGCUUAGUGAAGCGAAACAAGAAAAAAGGGGCUGCAUCGGGAGGAUCUGGGGCUGCCCACAGAAUGGGAGGAGGCGCUAAACUAGGCCUCAGAAAGGCCAGAACCCGGGGCCACUCCAGGGAUCCGGGAGCAGGGACCCGUGAACCGCAUCUAAGGCUAGUUCCCUAAAUAAUAACCCAGGCUCUGUUGUCGGAAGAAGAGAGCAUGGCUGCGGCAGCCCCAGACAGCUCCUGUCCACGUCCCACAUCAGUGAGGAGGCGGGCCCACCGGGGCGCCUGAAUCGAGUGAGCUCUGAUGGGGAAGCUCCGUGCAGGCUGCCAAGCAGCCCGAGACGCACGGGAGCAUCGUGUGUCCGUCUGUCCCUCCCAUCCAGGGCAGGGACGCAGGGGGAGCACGCCAGCUUCUCGUCCUGGCUUUGCCACUGACUGGUUAUGUGUCCUUGGGCAAGUCACUCUUCCUCCCGGACCAGAGUUUUGUCAUCUCUCGAAGACAGUGAUCAUCUCUAAGACCAGUCCUCAGCUCACUAAGGUGUUCGCAGCCCAUCCCAGGGGAAUUUGAGAAAUUAAAAGAUGUUCCUGGCAGCAACCACUUCACCUGAGGGAAUGAAUCAUAAAUGAUGGCACUUCAGGCUGCUGUGAAGAAGAUAUCAGGUGACAUCAAGUGGAAAAACACCCCCCUCCCCCAGGAACCCACGCAGGAAGACGGGCAGCGCGGGCACAGCGCCCCCACCUGGGGCUCCAGAACAUCUGCCGUGAGGGGCUGCAGAGAGUCCCUGCUCUGGGGCGAGAGGUUGGUCCCAGUUGAGAUUUCAUUUGCUGGAGGGCUUCCAGGCAGAGGAAACACAGCUGGCCCUCAGGAGACACGGGCCUCUGGACCACGUGUGUCACAGUGCCUUUGUUGAAGGAACACACAGAUUUGUGACAGCAGAUCGAGGCUCUGUGCAAAGAGAACAUCAGUUCUCUCCCGGCCUCAGUGUCUGCAUCUGUCAGAUGGGGAUAAGGUCAUUGUGCCAACCUCAUGGGGCCUUUCUGAGGACCCCCUGGGACAAUAGAGCUGAAAGAAAACCUGAGGACACAGAGGGCCAGGGGCCGAAGAAGGGCUAGAACAUGUGCUCCACAGGGCGGGGCCUGAGUCUGUCCGUGCACUGCUGCGUCCUCCGUGCAACGCGGGCUCCGGCACACAGCAGACGCUCGAAAAUUGUCUGUUGAGGAUGAAUAGCUGACACGCAAUACGGACUUGUGCAGCAAGCCCUGUUCUGAGAGUUUUCCAUGCACGCACGCUUCAUCCUGACAAUAAUACAGGUACUGUCGUCCCCAUUUAGAGAUAAGGCAACUGAGAGACAGAGGGAUUAUGUCACCUGCCCAAGGCCAGGCGGCUCGUAAGAGCAGGGCUGGCUUCCACCUCCCGCAGGCCGGCUCCAGGUCUGUGCUGUCACACAGAGUGCUCCUGUCUGAGUGCUCCUGUUUGAGUGCUCCUGUCUGGAUGCUCCUGUCUCAGUGCUCCUGUCUAGAUGCUCCUGUCUGAGUGCUCCUGUAUGAGUGCUCCUGUCUGGAUGCUCCUGUCUGAGUGCUCCUGUCUGGAUGUUCCUGUCUGGAUGCUCCUGUCUGAGUGCUCCUGUAUGAGUGCUCCUGUCUGGAUGCUCCUGUCUGAGUGCUCCUGUCUGGAUGUUCCUGUCUGGAUGCUCCUGUCUGAAUGCACCUGUCUGGAUGCUCCUGUCUGGAUGCUCCUGUCUGGAUGCUUUGCUUACGCAUGAGCGAAGGAAGAAGCUCGUGUGGGUAUUUAUGAAUGAGGUUUGGGAUUCCUCGUCUCUUUGCUUUGGGAAGAGGGUCUGAAGCUUCCAGCAAGGAUUCCUGUUUUUCACUCAUCUGUCAGCAGCUUCUGGUAUUUACAGAAAACACUUCGCAAAUGCAACAACAAAACUGGCCUCAUCAUCUGUCUCCAAACCUGGCAUCCUCUUCCCCUCCUCCCGGUGGCAGCUCGUGCUGUCACUGAGGACGGGUGCCCCAGACAGAAACUUGGAGUCAUUUUUGACACCCUUCCCUCUCUCCCCUGGACAGUCUCCUCAAGGUCACAGCAGAAACUGUCUCACAGCAAGUUCGUCCAGCUGUCACCCCUGUCAUCUUCCAGGUAUAACAGCUUGUGGAGGGCUCCCCUAUGCUUUAAGAUUUCAGGAAAAAUUGGCUCUCAUGGGCUGUCCCCCUGUGAUGAGAUUUAUGGCUUGUCUCCUGUUCCAGUUAAACUAUCACUGCAAAAUGAAUCAACCAAAACUUCGUAGUGUAAAACAAUGCCAUGUUGUUAUUCUUUCUCAGAGUUCUAGGGGCCGACUGGGCUCAAAGAGGGGUUCUUGCUCAUGUGGUCGCAAAUAAAAGGUGAAUGGCAUUGGAGUGACCACAGGCUUCCUCACCCCCGUGUCUGGCAGUUGACACUGGUUGUCAACCGGGAUGGCAGCUGGGACUGUUGGCCAGAACAUCCACGCACGGCCUCUUCAUGUACCCUGGGCACAGCAUGGCAGCUGGAUUUCAAGAAUAACUAGCCCCAGAAAUAGAAAGUGGAACCUACCAGACUCUUAAGAUUUGAGUCACUUCCACCAUAUUCCAUUGGUUGAGCAGUCACAAAGCUCAUAUUCAAGGGGGGGGGGGCACCCAGAACGCCACCUCUCAAUGGGAGGAGUGUCAAAGAAUUUGGGGGCCAUGUUUUUAGAACCACUUCACCUCCCAGUGUGCCUGGGGCCUCCUAGGGAGGGGCUUCAUUUCUGCUAGUCAACCUCUUCUAGUCCUCCUUCCCUGGCACCUGCUUCUGCUGAAUUCUCCGUCUCCUCCAGCUCUCAACUCCCUUGAAGGCCCUUUCUACAACCCUGGCAGCCCUCUGGUAGAACGCAGCCCUUUUUUCUUAACUUUCCCCAGGGUCAUGUGUGAAGUCACGGGAGACAUUUGCUGACUCACGGGUGAGGGCCGAGGGCACUGGCAUUGCAAUGCAGCUUGUACAGAUGAUUUAAAAUGGAGCAUCAGUGCUCUCUCUUCUCAGAGCCUUCAGCCACCCUGGCCCCUCUCCUGCCUUGGCUCCAUCUUCCCACCAGGUUGCCAGAACCUCUCCCACCUUCCAACCACUCUCAUGUGCUCUCUCAUCUCCCCUCCAAAUUCCACUUCCUUUAUCACCCUGACCAGUUAAGUUCUCUGCCUCCCCUCCUCCCCAGCGUGUCCCAGCGCAUCAAGGGCUCUCUCCCCACAGUUACAAUGUCUUCUGAGCCAAGAGGACUGCUGAGCACAGGCAGCUCCCUCCCCUAAGAGGAAUUCGGUUGCCAGAACAUUUCCCCUCCUCCACUCUUGGCGUUGGAAGGGCCCUGAGCAAUCCUUUAACCCAACAUCUUCCAGACCAUGUUCCUGGGAACAGCCUUAGUUCUUACGGUCCGCCAUAGAUGCUCCACAGAGGUUGUGCGGUCAAAUGUGCGUGGGAAGUUCUGGAUUAAAGAGAAGCAGGCCCCUCCACCUGCAGCACCAAACAGCACCUUCUGCCAUCAAGGGAAUGCUCUGGUCCCUUCUGGGCAAUACGGUGCCGCUGGCCAUCGGGUCUCCUGGGCACUUGAAAUGUGACUGCUGAGACUGAGGAACUGAAUUUCAAAUUUCAGUUUCCAUAACCACAUGUGGCUGGUGGCCACCACAUUGGAUAGCACAGCCUCAGAGCCUUCAUUAUUCUAAUAGGUGUUAAGUGGCUUUCCCCAACAUGUUCGCUCAAAGAUUCAAUCUCUCUCUCUCUCUUUGCUGAUGGUGUGCUGUUAACCCCUGUUUCGCAGUUUGGGAAAUGCUCCUGUGGUCCAAUCCUUACUGGACAGAUGAAGAAACUGAUCCCAGAGAGGGCAAGGGACUUUCACAGCAAGUUAGAUGCCCAGCGGAGGUUUGAACUCAGGCCUCUUCUCUCUCCUAGUCCAGCUCUGACUCCCUGGGUCUUUGACAGCUUUAAGUGAGGGCUGAAGCCAAAAGGAAGGACAGACACAGAGUUUGCUGGGUGUUCAGCUCCAUGGCAGGAGCUCCCACAUACACGGACUCCUUUCACCCUCUCAACAACCCUGUGAGGUGGGAAUUACCAACCCCAAUAUCCACAUGGGGAAACUGAGGGUCAAAGAGGGGAAGGGACUUGCCCAAAGGAUGUACGCAGCAGAGCUGUGUCCUAAUGUGCAAUCAGCAGGAAAACGGUGGGGAAACGCCCGGAAGGCGAAGAAUAAGAAUCUGUAAACAAUGAACAAAGAAUUGGGGCGGGGGUAGCAGCGCAGGGAAGCGCUCACAGGAAAAUCAGGAUCCGCAGAGAAAACGUUUGCAGAAACCAAAGCUAAGAAUGACCCCAACCACCAGUGACCCGGGAGGGGCGGGCCGCUGUCGUCAGGCAGCCAUUCUAGGCUUGGCCGGCCACCCACGGGGGAGGGGGCCAGUGUGAAUGCUCUGGCCAAUAGGGGCGGCCAUGACAAGUUGGCAAGUGGAAGAACCAAUCAGAUCCUCUCUUAUAUGGGGUUUGGACUUGCAAGGUGUAAAAAUUGUUUAUAGCAACCGAGGAAGCAGAAUGAGGCAACAGUCGGGUGGCCUUGACUUAAUCUUGCGCAAAUACUUCCCCACAGACGUGAGCAAAUGAUCAAUGGCUAGCUCGAAAGAAAGGAUGACUUAAGCGCCCUCAACCAAUAAUGACUCCAGCUGCCUUUCCUGCCCUUGCGUGGCACCGUGACCUGCCAGGAUCCCUGCUUCUGAUUUACGCCUCAGCGGGCAGAGUGAGUUCUGUCCUUGUAACUAAAGAGAGGCUGUGUGUCUGGUGUUGGGGGAAAUGCAUCAAAUGUUGUGCCCCUGGGAGCCUGUGUGUGUGUGAGAGCCCGUACCCUCAAGUCUGACCCCCCGUCUUCCCAGCCAUGAGGCCGUGAGGGGUUGGAGGAGAGGCUCUGUUCUGACAGCCAGCUUUCUGUUGCAAUGCUAAGUGCCUCGGAAAACCUACGUUCAUUUGAUGAGUCAGUCAUUCAUCCUACCAAUGUUUAUUGAAUGCCUACUAUGUGCCAAGCAUUGUUCUAGGCAACAGGGAUGAGGCAGUGAAUUAAACAGACAAAAACAAACGAAGCCCUUUAUGCGAGACUGGCCGGCGUUUCCCUGUCUGGAAAAUGGGGCACUGAACCAAAACCUCCGUGAGCUUCUUCUGGGCUGUCGGCGUCUGUGGUUUGCUGGGUUGUCCUGUGAGCACUUGUUGCCCAUCAAACCGGAAUCUCUCCUUCAGGCUCCUGCAGGGGCCUGGGUGGGAGACCUGGAACCGGAGAGGGGAGGCGGGUCGGGGCUGACUGCUCCUGGGAUCGUGUUGCAGGCUCGGCUGGGCCUGCCAGCUGGCCUGGUCCCGGCCCCAUUCCUCAGCCACAGGGCUUCCCAAGUAGCUGGCUUUCACCUGUUAGUUACCGCUUGGCUCUCUCUAUUUGGCCUGGGGGCUGCCUCACCCCCCCUCCCCCCCGACUCGCUGCCUUGGGCCUCCCCCAGGGUCUACCCUUAACCUUUUGGUAUGUGGGCUCCUGAAAUACCAGACAGGGUUCAAAUAGCACUUUCUGGCUUUGUGACCUCAGGCAAGUUUCUUAUUCUCUCUGUGGCUCUGUGUCUCCCUCUGUAAAAUGAGAAAAAUGAUAGCAUCUUACCUUGUAGAUGACAAGAUAAUAUAUGGUUGACACAUAAAGUAUUAAUGUUAUUAUUACGCAGAGGGUCCUAAUGGAGCCACGGGGCGGCCGAAGGAGGCUCGUGGGUUCCACCAAUAGGAGCCUCCAUUUUCCCCUCUAUGGAAUGAGGACAGUAAAGAUGUCAGAGGAUAACAGGCAGGGCCCUACACCUCUGGGUGCUUCAGGGCUCUGCUCCGCCUCUGACCAGCUGUGCGACCUUGAGCAAGUCUCUUCUCUGAGGCAGGCCGCUUCUCCGCACAAGCAAAACCCCGAUGCUGUUGGCCCCCAUCUCAGCGCCCCUGGCCUCCUGCUGGGAGGGGACUCCUGACAGAAGGUGUCAUUCCCCUACCCCGUGAUUGCUUUAGGCAAUUCUGGCCAAUGAGAAGUGUGGGGAAGUCUGCUGGGAGCUGCUGGGAGGGUCGCCUCCCUCUUCGAAGGGGUGACAAGGGAGGAGAGAGUUCUCUGUUUGCCUCUGGGGCCUCUGUGGCUUGUGGCCUCGGAAACAUUGCAGCCAUUUUGGGGCCGUGAGGGAGGGAUGAGCAGGAGGAGAGGCUGGAGCCAGAGACUAGUGGAAGGGCCUGGGUCCGGAAGGCCUGGGAGGCCCUGGGUUACCCAGCUGGAGCUUGCCGAACCUAGAACUUUAAGUUUUUGAUCAGAUAGGCGUCUCAAUUGUUUAAGCCACUCUCAGCUGGCUUUUCUGUUGCUUGAAGCUGACAGAAUCCUAACUGAUGCAUUCUCCUGAGCCUCAGUUUUCUCAUCUGUGAAAUGGAGACGGUAGAUCCUACCUCACAGAGAGUCUGAACAUCAUAGGGGAGGACAGAGAUGGGAAGUCCAGUGGCCUCUGCACAACAAGGGCCAGGACCGGGGGCCCCUCGGUAACGUGGCCGACUCACUUCCUGCCUCCGCUCCUGCCCCAGCUCCCCACCGGGCCUCCCACCAUCCCAGGCUUGACCCGGUGUCUCCAGUGGGCCCCGCACGGUGAGAUCCAUCGCAGAUAUCAACCCCAACCCCACAGUGAUGCGCAGGAGGCCAGGCACCAGAGCUGGUUCUCUUCAGGCCUGCGGUGGCUACCAGCCUGGGCUCAGAGGCAGCCAGACCUGGGGUCUGAGUCACCGUGCUGCCACACCCUGACGUGUGUCAUGGGACAGCCACGUCCUCAUCUCUGUGUCUCAGCCGUUUUGUCUGUAAACUGGGAAUAGCAAUGGCACUUGUUUCACAGACACACUGUGAGUAAACAAGCCAAUGCGGCCAGGAGCUCGGCACCAGGAGGAGCUCAGAAAGUCAGCUCCCUUGGUCCUGGACUCCCCGGCGUGGCCCAUCACAGCUUCCAGGUCCUUGAAAGCCUGUGACUUUGGGGACCAUCCCGCCUACCUUUUUUUUUCAUAGUGCAACUUCUUCCAUUCAAAUCUUGUGGAAGGAACCUUCAUGGCAGCCCGUUUGUAUGGCUAAGGACUGGAAAUGACCCCAAUGCCCACCAACAGGUCAAUGGACAAACAAACUGUGUUGUCUCCAUACAACAGAUUACCACUCACCAUUAAAAAGGAACAAACUAUUGGUACACGUGCCAACAUGGGUGAAUCUCAAAAUAAUUCUGCUGAGUGAAAAAAGCCAGACAAAAAAGAGUCCAUACUGUAUGAUCCAUUUACAUAAAAUUCUGGAAGAUGCCGAGUGGUGUGCAGUGACAGAAAGCAGCUCAGUGAUCUCUGGGUAACGGGGCGGGGGGUUAAAAAGGGACACAAGGAAUCUCGAGGGUGAGGGAUAUGUUCACAGUCUUGGUGGUUUCACGACUAUAUCUAUAUGUCAGAACUUAUCACAUCAUACACUUUAAAUAUGUCAGUUAAUAGUGUAUUGGUUUUCCUCAGUAAAAACAGAAGAAAAUAAAACAUCUCAUGUGAAAGCCCCAUGUGGAAAAGUUGAAGGUGAAGGAUGGAGCAGUGCUGGGCGGUGGGGUAAGGAUUGGUGGGCCAGCUCUUGCCCUUGGCCUCUCCCGCUCCUGAGGAGUAGCUGCCGCAGGCUCCACUCAGAGCCGCAGUGUCCACUUGAUCUCCACUGAGCGCAUCUUGAAAACCGCAGGUGCUUCUGAGAGAGGGGAAGGACCCUGCCUGAGGUCGUACGGUCUCACUGGGAUGGAGCCGGGCAGAAGCCGGGUUUCCUCCCCGUGUGGCCAGAGCUCUAUCCCAAAGGCACAAGGAUCCAGCAAUUGUUCAUCAAGGGCCUCAAGGACGGCCGGACAGCACAGUCAGCCACGGGUGUGAGGUUCUGGUCUGUGCUCGGUGCUGUUCUGGGCUCUGAGGGGAGCACAGGGGUAAGCAGGCCCAGUCUCUCGUCCUCAGUCUCUCAGUCUACUUGGGAGCAAGAAAGACCUGGAAUUAAGGAAGAAUAAGAGACACGAAAGUAUGAAGAUGGCUGGGGUGUGAAAUCCCUGGGCUGGAGUCCUGUUGAGGGUGGCGCAUGCAGAGGAAGCUGUCCUUCCAGCAGCCCAGGGGCAGGAUCGAGGAGCAGCCCUCGUGACAGGUGUAGCAGGCGGCCGUUGCUUAAACUGAGGACCAGACUCAAGCACCAGAACCGCGGGGCGCCAGUACCCCCGAGCGAAUGUUCCUAUUUCACAGUGGAGACACUGAGGCCCAGAGAGGGGAAGGGAGUAACCCAGGACCACAGCCCAGGCCUCUGACUUCAAAUUCCAGCUGCCCUCCAAAGCUGCCCCUCCGUGGGCUUGGGCCGUUGGUCAUCACUGCUGGAGCCGGGCACUCCCCUUAGUAGGACAGGCCACGGGGGCUGGGCGGCCGGCCGGGCUCUCAACAGUUGGACCAGGGCAGGGCAGGGCCAGGGGCUGAGAGGGGAGGAAUACAGCCAGCCCAUCCGGGCCUCUCUAUGGUUGAUGCUGUGUCAGGCGAUGACAGACUGUCUCCCCACUGAGCCCUCUGGAAUGCUUGGAACUCAGUGGUGACAGUCCAGAAGUUUCUCUUCUCCUGGGGGGCUCAGGAGUGGAGGGAAAGUUCUAGAUAAGAACUCAGGGUUUUGGCCUUUCCUCCCACCCUGCCCCCUCCUUUCCUGGGGACUUCAUCUGUGCCAAGGGUAGAAACAGCCACUCCAGGGCACUUGGCCCCCCGUCAGACUGCCCCUUCCCGCCCCACUCCUGCUCUGGGAUUAAGGAAAACAACCAGCUCUUAUGUUUAGACAGCUCUUUGCAGGACACAAGGAAGGCUCACAUUCGUGCCCUCGCUGAAAAUGUUUUUCCCCAGUCCUCACAAUUCAGGGGAGAGUCCUUAUCCCCAUUUUACAGAGAAAGAAACUGAGGCUCAGAGAGACCCAUGAUUCACCCUGGCUACAGAAGAAGCAAAUGUGCCAAGUUGGUUCAAGAACCGAAGUCUCGGGCAUCCUAGCUUUUCCCCGCCCGGCCUUCCUCCCUCGCGCUCCUGUUAAUACCACGAGGGCGUGUUGUGUGAUGGAAAACAUGGACAGGCUCUGAGACAGUCAGGCUGGCUUGGAAUCUCAGCGCCACUGUUACUCUGGCUGCAUUUUCCACGGACCAGUUACUUCAGCCCAUGGGUUUCAGUUACCUUAUCUGUGAAAGAGGGUAAUAAUAGCAACCACUCAUUGGGGUUGACAGGAGAAUGAAACAAGAUGAUUACGCACAAAGAACUUGGCCAACAGGGAGCAGACAUCACUCAGGAAACGACAGUGGCUGUUUUGUGACAGGUCCUGGAGGUGAGACCUUGUCUGUCCUGUAGCUCUGCCUUGUCCUGUCUCCUCAUAGGCUGCUGGGAGGAUCCAAUGAGAUGGCAGAGGCAAAGGGUAUGAAGCGUAUGCUCUUAUCUCUGCUAAGAUAUGAAUGAUCGCACAAGACCCGGCUUGUCUGAAGUAAAGCUAUUCCUUAAGUUUCAUGUCUCCUCUGGACAGAAGGGAGCUAAGAAAAUCCUAAAGCAUCCACAGACGUGUUAGUCCAAACUUCUGCUUUCAUAAGGGAGGACACAGAGGCCCAGAGAGGAGAAGGGACUCGCUCAAGGUCAAACAGCACGGCAGUGUGGAGGCUGAUCAGAACCCUUCCACUUGGCCAUGUGACUCCUCUGUCCCCCUCCCCACAAAGUGCACUGACUCAGAGAGCCCUGGCAAUUUUUGCCAAAUUUUUAAGGGCAAGUCCAGGAUGGAAAAGUCAUGUCUUAACAGGAGCAGCCAGUGGAAAGAUGAACAUGAUGGGUCAUGAGUCAACAGAACAGUGUGGUUUUCCCACAGCCAUCUCCACCACUGGUCAUGGAAUCAUGGCAUAUUCUUCAUUGUAGGUGAAGGACCAAAGGCCAUGAAGGGAAAAUAAAGGAAAUAAGGAAAAAUAAAAUUGUUUAAAAAAAAAAAGAUUGGCACCUGAGCUAACAACUGUUGCCCAUCUUUUUUUUUUUUUUUUUUCUGCUUUUUCUCCCCAG